AAGUCGUAACAAGGUUUCCGUAGGUGAACCUGCGGAAGGAUCAUUAAUGAAACUUCAAGUCGGCUGUUCUGUGCUGGUGGCAACACAUGUGCACGUUCAGUCGCAAUCCACACACCUGUGCACUUUGACUCUGAGCACCACCGGUAACACGGUAGAAGGUUUGAGAUGAAGGUCUCAACCCCGGUACUCGAGUAGUUUACACACUCUGUAUGUAAUAGAAUGUAACCGUACAAUGUACAACUAUAAACAACUUUCAACAACGGAUCUCUUGGCUCUC
rnacentral:misc_RNA from 1 species